GUCUUUUUGAUUUUAAUUUAAAGUUUAACCUGCCCAUUGAAAAUUUUUAAAAGGCUGCGGUAUUUUGACUGUACAAAGGUAGCAUAAUCAUUAGUUUUUUAAUUGAAAACUUGUAUGAAUGGUUGAAUGAGAAAUUAACUUUUUUAAAAAAAUAAUUGAAUUUUACUUUUUAAUUAAAAGGUUAAAAUAAAUUUAAAAGACGAGAAGACCCUAUAGAGUUUUAUAAUUUUUAUUUAAUAUUUAAAAAGAUUAAUUAAAAUUUUAUAAAAGAAAAUAUUUUGUUGGGGUGAUAAUAAAAUUUAAAUAACUUUUAUUUUUUUUUACAUUAAUAUAUGAAUUUAUGAUCCAUUAUUGAUGAUUAGAAAUUUAAAUUACCUUAGGGAUAACAGCGUAAUUUUUUUUUAAAGUUCAUAUUAAUAAAAAAUUUUGCGACCUCGAUGUUGGAUUAAGAUUUAAUUUUAGGUGCAGCAGUUUAAAUUUUAAGUCUGUUCGACUUUUAAAUUCUU
rnacentral:rRNA from 2 species